UUUGAUUGACCCCAGCCACAGCGGGCGAUCGGCCGGGCGCUCCUGCCCAUAGGUGGCCAAAAUCGCUUGCGCCUC
rnacentral:antisense_RNA from 1 species